rnacentral:lncRNA from 1 species
AGCCAAGAAUGAGGUGAAGAAGAGCUCCAAAACCUUCUUCUCCUUCUUCUCCUUCCUUUUCUUCCUCUCUUUUUCCUUCUUUUUCCUCUCUUUUUCCUUUUCUCCUUCUUCUCCUUCUAUUCGGUUAGAGAGAGAGAGAGCUAGAGAGAGAGUGAGCUGGGGAGAGUGAGAGGGAAGAGAGCUGAGAGUGAGGGGAUUAAGUCCCCUAUUGUAACAAAAUGCUAAAG